GUACGUGCAGUUCGGAUCAUUGUCAUCUCGGAGGUGGCCCAGCCGGUUCACUGCAGUGAAGCCACAGCGUUCCCAUCAGCGUCUCUAUGAGUUAUAACAACAAACAGAAACUACAAAGAGCGUCGUGUGGAGGACAAAACCGGUAACUGAGUGACUGAUGCAGAGCCAUGGUCACCCACACACCAGUGACGGAGAGAGGCAGAGAAUGGAGGAGUCGGGGUCGGGAUGGGGGGGGAGGCACUGCCCCUGCUUGAGCAGAAACUGGGGUGGACCCUCACUGACAGGAUGCUGUGUCUACAGCCCAUCACCGGAACCCUCAAACUCAGCAAGAGCCCGAGAUGCUUCUGUUGGUAUGAGCUGCCAAUAAGGUUCCUGCCCGUGCUGCUGUUUCGAAGGCGUGAGUGGCCCUCCGUGCGUAACCAGGUUCUACCAGUCGGUUACGGAGAUUAGCACAAGGAGUUCUGCAGGAGGCUCCUUCGCACGGUUUCUCCUCACUGUGUCGUUACCCCCAGAUCUCGACUGAGGAACGUGGGGCGUCAGAAGCGGAGGGAGCUGCGUGGGGCCGGGGCUGGCACACACGUCCUUGAAAAGGCCGGAGAGCAAACAUCUUAGGCUCCGUCACGACCCCUCAGCUCUGACUGCAGCACAAACACAGCCACGGAAAACACGUAAACGGAUGACAUGGCCGCGUUCCAGUAAAACUUGAUUCCCAAAAGCUGGGGGCAGUCACAGUGUGCUGACCCCUGGUCUUGAGCCACCAGGAGUAAGGACAGGAAAGCGUCACAUGUUCUCCAAA